GACAGAGGUGGCAAGCGUUGUUCGGAUUUAUUGGGCGUAAAGAGCGCGUAGGCGGUCUUAUAAGUCGGUGGUGAAAUCCCGGGGCUUAACCCCGGAACUGCCUCCGAUACUGUAAGACUUGAGUGCGGGAGAGGGUAGUAGAAUUCCCAGUGUAGAGGUGAAAUUCGUAGAUAUUGGGAAGAAUACCAGUGGCGAAGGCAGCUACCUGGACCGCAACUGACGCUGAGGCGCGAAAGCGUGGGGAGCAAACAGG
rnacentral:rRNA from 1 species